ACUACGGGAGGCUGCAGUGGGGGAUAUUGCACAAUGGGGGAAACCCUGAUGCAGCGACGCCGCGUGGAUGAAGAAGCGCCUCGGCGCGUAAAGCCCUGUCAGCAGGGAAGAAAAUGACGGUACCUGAAGAAGAAGCCCCGGCUAACUACGUGCCAGCAGCCGCGGUAAUACGUAGGGGGCAAGCGUUAUCCGGAUUUAAUGGGUGUAAUGGGGGCGCAUGCGGCGAUGCAAGCCAGGAGUGAAAGCCCGGGGCCCAACCCCGGGACUGCUCUUGGAACUGCGUGGCUAGAGUGCAAGAGGGGCAGGCGGAAUGCCUGGUGUAGCGGUGAAAUGCGUAGAUAUCAGGAGGAACACCGGUGGAGAAGGCGGCCUGCUGGACUGCAACUGACGUUGAGGCCCGAAAGCGUGGGGAGCAAACAGGAUUAGAUACCCUGGUAGUC
rnacentral:rRNA from 1 species